AUUGAACGCUGGCGGCAGGCCUAACACAUGCAAGUCGAGCGAGCGGCGGCCGGGUGAGUAAUGCCUGGGAAUUGCCAAGUCGAGGGGGAUAACAGGUGGAAACGACUGCUUAUACCGCAUACGAUUGGAUUACCCAUGUGUGAUUAGCUAGUUGGGGAGGUAAUGUCUCACCAAGGCGACGAUCCCUAGUUGGUCGGAGAGGAUGAUCAGCCACACUGGAACUGAGACACGGUCCAGACUCCUACGGGAGGCAGCAGUGGGGAAUAUUGCACAAUGGGGGAAACCCUGAUGCAGCCAUGCCGCGUGUGUGAAGAAGGCCUUCGGGUUGUAAAGCACUUUCAGCGAGGAGGCGUUACUCGCAGAAGAAGCACCGGCUAACUCCGUGCCAGCAGCCGCGGUAAUUG
rnacentral:rRNA from 1 species